rnacentral:lncRNA from 1 species
AGAAAACCAUCAAUUUUUCUAUUCAAAAGUUCUACCUGAUUAGAGAGCAUGGUGAUCGAAUUGACAUUAAAAACUCCGGCUGUUUUUGUUUGCUUUGUGCUCAUAACUUGCCAUUGAUAAUUAUUCAGUGACAUCUCUUCUAUAAAUUCAUAAGCAUCUUCAGGUGUCUUAUUAUUGAUGGUUCCACCAGCAGCUUCGCCAAUCAUCUGUCUAGUUGAAGGAUUUAGGCCAUUGUGAAAUGUUUGAACCUGUAGCCAGAGUGGUAACCCAUGGUAAGGGCAUCCUCGCAAAAGGUCCUUGUAUCUCUCCCAUG